UACGUAGGGUGCGAGCGUUGUCCGGAAUUAUUGGGCGUAAAGAGCUCGUAGGCGGUGUGUCACGUCGGCCGUGAAAACCUGCAGCUUAACUGUGGGCGUGCGGUCGAUACGGGCAUCACUGGAGUUCGGCAGGGGAGACUGGAAUUCCUGGUGUAGCGGUGAAAUGCGCAGAUAUCAGGAGGAACACCGGUGGCGAAGGCGGGUCUCUGGGCCGAUACUGACGCUGGAGGAGCGAAAGCCGUGGGGGAGCGAAACAGG
rnacentral:rRNA from 1 species